UGCAAUCUCAUCUGAUAAACGAGAUCAUCUUCGGAUAAUGGAGAGAUAUUAUCUGUAAUCCAAGAGCGCUUUGAAAUGAUAUCAUCUCUCAAUCUUGAGCAUCAAAAGAUAUUCUUGACAGCUUUCUGGUGAAUUAACAACAUGUGAGAGCAAUUUUGAAGCAUUUUUGUUUUCCUGAUAAUUGUGAUAUUCGAGAAUAUAGUCGUAUUUGGUAAUCAAGAAUGGUGCGGAACAGUUUUGCAAUAUUGGUUUCAAGCGAUGAAAACUGCAAUUUCUGAACAACAUGAGCACUUCCUCGUACCACAAUGUCAAGCUUAUAUUAUUUUUCGAAUAAAAUGACACUAUAGAAGAAUGAAA